rnacentral:rRNA from 1 species
GACGAACGCUGGCGGCGUGCUUAACACAUGCAAGUCGAACGGGAAGGCCCUGCUUUUGUGGGGUGCUCGAGUGGCGAACGGGUGCGUAACACGUGCGUAACCUGCCCUUGACUUUGGGAUAACUUCAGGAAACUGGGGCUAAUACCGGAUAGGAGCUCCUGCUGCAUGGUGGGGGUUGGAAAGUUUCGGCGGUUGGGGAUGGACUCGCGGCUUAUCAGCUUGUUGGUGGGGUAGUGGCUUACCAAGGCUUUGACGGGUAGCCGGCCUGAGAGGGUGACCGGCCACAUUGGGACUGAGAUACGGCCCAGACUCCUACGGGAGGCAGCAGUGGGGAAUAUUGCACAAUGGGCGGAAGCCUGAUGCAGCAACGCCGCGUGCGGGAUGACGGCCUUCGGGUUGUAAACCGCUUUCGCCUGUGACGAAGCGUGAGUGACGGUAAUGGGUAAAGAAGCACCGGCUAACUACGUG